rnacentral:rRNA from 1 species
GCAAGUCGAACGGUAACAGAUCCCUCGGGAUGCUGACGAGUGGCGCACGGGUGCGUAACACGUAUGCAAUCUACCUCUAACUGGAGAAUAGCCCAGGGAAACUUGGAUUAAUACUCCAUAAUAUUAUGUUAUCGCAUGAUGAUAUAAUUAAAGCUUCAGCGGUUAGAGAUGAGCAUGCGCCCUAUUAGCUAGUUGGUGAGGUAAUGGCUCACCAAGGCAACGAUAGGUAGGGGGUCUGAGAGGGAGAUC